rnacentral:rRNA from 1 species
AUCUCUUGAAUAUCAAAGGUGAGCCAGUACAGGAUGGACCCGCGUCUGAUUAGCUAGUUGGUAAGGUAACGGCUUACCAAGGCGACGAUCAGUAGCCGACCUGAGAGGGUGAUCGGCCACAUUGGAACUGAGACACGGUCCAAACUCCUACGGGAGGCAGCAGUGGGGAAUAUUGCACAAUGGGCGAAAGCCUGAUGCAGCAACGCCGCGUGAGUGAUGAAGGCCUUCGGGUCGUAAAACUCUGUCCUCAAGGAAGAUAAUGACGGUACUUGAGGAGGAAGCCCCGGCUAACUACGUGCCAGCAGCCGCGGUAAUACGUAGGGGGCUAGCGUUAUCCGGAUUUACUGGGCGUAAAGGGUGCGUAGGCGGUCUUUCAAGUCAGGAGUGAAAGGCUACGGCUCAACCGUAGUAAGCUCUUGAAACUGGGAGACUUGAGUGCAGGAGAGGAGAGUGGAAUUCCUAGUGUAGCGGUGAAAUGCGUAGAUAUUAGGAGGAACACCAGUUGCGAAGGCGGCUCUCUGGACUGUAACUGACGCUGAGGCACGAAAGCGUGGGGAGCAAACAGGAUUAGAUACCCUGGUAGUCCACGCUGUAAACGAUGAGUAC